UUCUUAUCAAGAGAGAUGGAGGAACUGGUCCAAUGAAAUCUCGGCAAAAGGCCCUUUUAAGAGUACUGUGCCAAUUCCAGCGAACAAAUGGUUCGAGAGAUAAGAA
rnacentral:ncRNA from 2 species